UACGUAGGGGGCAAGCGUUGUCCGGAUUUAUUGGGCGUAAAGAGCGUGUAGGCGGCCUGAAAGGUCAGCUGUGAAAACUCGAGGCUCAACCUCGAGACGUCGGUUGAAACCAUCUGGCUAGAGUCCGGAAGAGGAGUGUGGAAUUCCCGGUGUAGCGGUGAAAUGCGCAGAUAUCGGGAAGAACACCCGUGGCGAAGGCGGCACUCUGGGACGGUACUGACGCUGAGACGCGAAAGCGUGGGUAGCAAACAGG
rnacentral:rRNA from 1 species